rnacentral:rRNA from 1 species
GGAUGAACGCUGGCGGCGUGCUUAACACAUGCAAGUCGAACGGAAAGGCUCCUGCUUGCAGGGGUACUCGAGUGGCGAACGGGUGAGUAACACGUGGGUGAUCUGCCCUGCACUUCGGGAUAAGCCUGGGAAACUGGGUCUAAUACCGGAUAGGACGAUGGUUUGGAUGCCAUUGUGGAAAGUUUUUCGGUGUGGGAUGAGCUCGCGGCCUAUCAGCUUGUUGGUGGGGUAAUGGCCUACCAAGGCGUCGACGGGUAGCCGGCCUGAGAGGGUGUACGGCCACAUUGGGACUGAGAUACGGCCCAGACUCCUACGGGAGGCAGCAGUGGGGAAUAUUGCACAAUGGGCGCAAGCCUGAUGCAGCGACGCCGCGUGGGGGAUGACGGCCUUCGGGUUGUAAACUCCUUUCGCUAGGGACGAAGCGCAAGUGACGGUACCUGGAGAAGAAGCACCGGCUAACUAC